rnacentral:lncRNA from 1 species
AGAAGGGGGAGGGAGGGAACCUGAGGGGGCACGUUUUUACUCUGGAUUGUGGGAUCACUUAGGAGAGAUCAGGCCUCUCGAAUAGCCUGAAGCUUGUCAACUUCAUUUCCAUUGAAAUAAUAUACUUAAUUUCUGUGUUUUGGUUCUUUCAUCUUGUGAGGUUCUAUCAAAUUGGUAUCAGAGCGUCUCAAUUUUGGGAAGAUGACGUUAAACGACCGAAUGAGCACCUUAGAGGAGAGGUUUGAGGGUGUGCAGCAAGAACUGCAUGAAGGACUGGAAACCAUCAAAGGGGAGAUUCAAAAUGACAUAUCAGGGCUAAAGGAAAAGUUCGAGUUACUGCUGAGUAAGUGGGAAGGGCAGGCGCAUGACGGAAAAGGAAAAGGGGUGGCCGGCAGUUCUAGUAUGGCCGCACCAACUGUAGAAUCACCAUCAAAUUAUGAGGAACCAGAUCAGCCCAAUAAGGACCUGGAGGAUAAAGGGCGAAUGGAUGGUCGUAGCAGGAGGUUAGAAAUGCCAGUCUUCCACGGUGAAAAUCCAGACGGGUGGCUCUUCAAGGCAGAAAGGUAUUUUAGCAUAAACCAUUUCUCGAAUUGGGAGAAAAUCGAAGCGGCGGCCGUGUGUUUUGAAGGGGAGGCGUUGGCAUGGUACCAAUGGGAAGACGGCCGACAAACUUUCCAGAGGUGGGAAGAUCUGAAGGCUGCCCUGCUGUUGCGUUUUCGGCCUUCACAAGAGGGUACGAACCUGGAAAAAUUUCUGGCACUUAGACAAGAAGGGACAGUGAGAGAUUACAGGCGGAUGUUUGAGGUCCUAGCAGCUCCGUUAACCACCGUGCCUGAAGACAUUCUGGAAGGUAACUUCAUUAACGGGUUGAAGCCUUUAAUUCGGGCAGAGGUAAGGCUACUAAAACCUCGUGGGCUGGAUCGUAUUAUGGAGCUGGCCCAGCGCGUAGAGGAUCGCAAUGAACUGGUGAGACAGGCCCAAGGAUCCUACGGCCCGGGUAAAAUGAGGAACACCUCUUACAGCCCAAGUCCGGAUUAUGGCCCGUCUAAGCCCCCUAAUCUAACCCAUUCUGGAAGCCUCUCCCAAAAUCACGUAGCUCAGCUCAACGCGAGACCGAUUCCCUCCAGUCCCCGAAAUCUGAUGGUGGGGAAAGCAGCGUCGUCCUUCAAGAAGCUCUCGGACGUCGAGCUACAGCUAAAGAAAGAACGGGGCUUGUGUUACCGCUGUGAUGAGAAGUUCCAACCGGGGCACAAGUGCCGAAACAAGGAAUUGCACGUCCUUGUCGUACAAGGAGAAGAAGAAGGGGAAGAGCUGGGGAAUGUUCAGGUGCACGAAGGCGAAACAGAGGUAGGAGAAGUGGUGGAACUAUCUAUUAAUUCAGUAGUGGGGUUGAAUGCUCCUAAAUCCAUGAAGUUGAAGGGGACAAUUUGUGGGCACUCAGUGAUUGUUCUCAUUGAUUGUGGAGCUACUCAUAACUUUAUAUCUGUUGAUUUGGCGGCACAAUUGCAGAUUCCGACGGUCCCCACCCAUGGGUAUGGGAUUAUUAUGGGCACCGGUUCAGCCGUUAGAGGAUGUGGGGUUUGUAAGGGUGUGGUAAUUUCCUUGCCAAGCAUUGAAGUUGUUGAUGAUUUCCUGCCUCUGAAGUUGGGAUGCACUGAUGUAAUUUUGGGUAUGAAAUGGCUGGAAACCGUGGGAAAAAUGCAAGUAGACUGGGGUAAUUUGACAAUGAAGAUCAAAGUGGGUGGGCAAGUUGUCACCCUGCAGGGGGAUGUUAGCUUACAGAAAACACAGGUUUCAGUCAAGACCAUGGUCAAGGCUUUUAGGGAGGGUGAUCAGGGAGUCUUAAUUGAGCUGGGGAGUUUGGGGGUGGAAGGAGAAGAAUCAGAUGGGGAAAGUCCCAGCAGUUUUACCGAAUUACUACAGCAAUAUCGAGUGGUCUUUGAGUGGCCGAACACACAUCCCCCGUUACGGUCCAGAGAUCACAGUAUUGUUCUACAAGCAGAAUCUGCCCCCGUGAAUGUUAGGCCCUAUCGUUACCCACAUUUUCAAAAAAAUGAGAUCGAAAGGUUGGUGAAGGAGAUGCUUGUAGCUGGGAUAAUUCAACCGAGUAGCAGCCCAUUUUCCAGUCCUGUUCUGUUAGUAAAGAAAAAAGAUGGCAGUUGGCGAUUUUGCGUAGAUUAUCGGGCGUUGAAUAAGGUUACAGUUCCAGACAGAUUCCCAAUCCCGGUUAUAGAUGAGUUACUGGAUGAGCUUCAUGGGGCAGUUAUAUUUUCGAAGUUAGAUCUGAAAUCAGGUUACCACCAGAUCAGAAUGAAGCCGGACGACAUCCCGAAAACAGCCUUUCGAACACAUGAGGGUCACUACGAAUUUUUGGUGAUGCCGUUUGGACUAAAGAAUGCCCCGGCCACUUUUCAAGGAUUGAUGAAUGAGGUAUUCCAGCCAUACCUCCGGAAGUUUGUCCUAGUUUUCUUUGAUGACAUCCUGAUAUACAGUAAGACGGGGGAGGAACAUAAACAACAUCUGGGGAUUGUUCUACAAUGCCUGCAGCAGCAUCAGCUUUAUGCGAAUGAGAGGAAGUGCACUUUUGGUCAGCCCCGACUGGAAUAUCUUGGCCACAUCAUAUCAGAACAGGGCGUGGCUGCAGAUCAAUCAAAGAUUGAGGCUAUGAUGGGAUGGGUCAGACCUCGCAAUCAGAAGGAGCUCCGUGGUUUCCUGGGGCUCACGGGCUAUUACCGUCGUUUUGUGGCUGGUUAUGCUAAUAUUGCAUGGCCAUUGACAGGAUUGCUUAAAAAAGAUGGGUUCAAAUGGUCUGAAGACGCAGAGAACGCAUUCAGCAAAUUAAAGAAAGCGAUGACGGAAGUACCGGUACUUGCCCUGCCAGACUUUUCGCAGGAGUUUGUGGUCGAAACUGAUGCGUCCGGGCAUGGGUUGGGUGCUGUUCUGAUGCAACACCAGCAUCCGAUCGCUUAUUUUAGCCAAGUGUUGCCUGCAACGGUAAGGCGCAAAUCAGUUUAUGAGAGGGAAUUAAUGGCGAUAGUGUUCGCUAUCAGAAAAUGGAGGCAUUAUUUGUUGGGCAGGCGUUUUGUUGUUAGAACUGAUCAACGCAGCUUGAAGUUUCUUUUGGAGCAGCGCGUAGUUAGUGAAGAGUACCAGAAAUGGCUGACGAAAUUGAUGAGUUUCGAUUUUGAAAUUCAAUACCGUCCCGGGGUUGAGAAUAGGGCAGCGGAUGCACUCUCAAGAAGGGAUCCAGGGUUGCAACUUUUAUCUGUUUCCACCCCCAAGUUGCUGCCAUUAGAGGACAUUAAAAAGGCAGUGUCGGUGGACAACGAACUGAAGGAGAUACUGAAAGAAAUUCAGGCAGAACAUGGGUCCAAACCAGGGUAUUCUCUGAUUGGUGGAAUGUUGUGCUACAAGGGCAGGAUUGUGUUACCCAAGCUAUCUCCGCUAACUGAAGUUAUGAUGCUUGAGUGUCAUCACACGAGAAUAGGAGGGCAUUCGGGGUUCCUUAAAACUUACAAGAGAAUUGCACGGGAAGUUUACUGGACGGGCAUGAAGAAAGAUGUUCAGGACUUUGUAGCACGUUGCCCGGUAUGUCAGCAGAAUAAAUACAUUGCUUUAUCCCCUGGCGGUCUUCUCCAACCACUCCCAAUACCAGAACUGAUAUGGGCAGAUGUCUCCAUGGACUUCAUUGAAGGGUUGCCGAAGGCAGGGGGUGUGGUACUAUAAUGGUCGUGGUGGACAGGUUAAGCAAGUAUGGACAUUUUAUUGGGAUAAAGCAUCCGUUUACUGCCCCUAUUAUUGCUAAUGUUUUUAUCCGCGAGAUUGUCCGUUUGCACGGGGUCCCUCAGUCAAUUGUGUCGGAUCGAGAUAAAAUCUUUAUGAGUAAAUUUUGGGAAGAGCUGUUUAAAGCGCAAGGGACCGUCCUUAAGAGAAGUACAGCUUACCAUCCACAAACGGAUGGCCAAACUGAAGUGGUCAAUCGAUGCUUAGAGACUUAUUUGCGUUGCUUUGCUUCUAGCAAACCACAUUCCUGGAAUCAGUGGCUACCUUGGGCAGAGUUUUGGUAUAACACCUCUUUUCACACAGCGACUAAACAUACCCCCUUUCAGAUUGUAUAUGGCCGGGAGCCGCCUCCAAUUCUUCCUUUUGAAAAGGGUAGUACGGCGGUCUCCACUGUUGAACAACAAUUAUUGGCGAGAGAUGAAGUGCUACAGGUUCUGAAGUUGCAUCUGGCUCGUGCACAACAGCGUAUGAAAUUGGAGGCUGAUGGGCAUCGUCGCGACCUUCAGUUUGAGGUAGGGGAACUGGUAUACCUGAAACUGCGUCCAUACCGUCAAAAAUCUGUGGCUCACCGACUGUCAGCUAAACUGUCUCCAAGAUACUUCGGGCCAUUUGAAAUCGAGGCUAAGGUAGGAUAGGUUGCUUACAAGCUGAAACUUCCCCCUGAGGCUGUCAUUCACCCAGUUUUCCAUGUAUCACAACUUAGAAAGGCGGCAGGGGCCUUACAGCCGGUCCAUCAACUUCCCCCACUGAUGGCUACAGGGAAUCAGUUUAUCGUGGAGCCAGAAUCAGUGCUACAGAUCAGGCCAAAUACCUCCAAUCCUGCUUUGGGUCCUGAAGUGCUAAUCAAGUGGAAGGGUUCACCAGAGUUUGAGGCCACUUGGGAACUUUUUGACAGCAUCCGCCACCAGUUCCCAGCUUUCCACCUUGAGGACAAGGUGGAUUUUAAGGGCGGGGGUAUUGAGAGGCCCCCGAUUCAAUUCACGUAUGCUAGGAGGAAGGCCAGGUUAGCUGCAGGUCCACGUGAGGAGGGAGGGCAGUCUGUUGUAUAGUUCAAUUAGUUAGAAAGUUGUUAGGAGAGGGGUUAAUAAGAAGGGGGAGGGAGGGAACCUGAGGGGGCACGUUUUUACUCUGGAUUGUGGGAUCACUUAGGAGAGAUCAGGCCUCUCGAAUAGCCUGAAGCUUGUCAACUUCAUUUCCAUUGAAAUAAUAUACUUAAUUUCUGUGUUUUGGUUCUUUCAUCUUGUGAGGUUCUAUCAGAAUCCUCACAAUGAGG